rnacentral:rRNA from 1 species
UACGAAGGGUGCAAGCGUUACUCGGAAUUACUGGGCGUAAAGCGUGCGCAGGCGGCUUUGCAAGUCAGAUGUGAAAUCCCCGGGCUCAACCUGGGAACUGCAUUUGUGACUGCAUGGCUGGAGUGCGGCAGAGGGGGAUGGAAUUCCGCGUGUAGCAGUGAAAUGCGUAGAUAUGCGGAGGAACACCGAUGGCGAAGGCAAUCCCCUGGGCCUGCACUGACGCUCAUGCACGAAAGCGUGGGGAGCAAACAGG